rnacentral:lncRNA from 1 species
CUUGGCAUCAGGAAGGAGCGUUGUUCAGGUUCUGUGUGCUUCAAGGGGUGCUUUGGACUCAAAACGUCUGAUCUCAUUACACUGACCUGAUUUCCCUAUGGCCAAAUCUAGUUUGAUAGAAAUGUCUCCAAAGGCCGCAGUGAUUGCGAAGAUAUGUAAUUCCCCAUUUUUUUUUCUGAUCUGGAAAAAAAUUUUGUCCUAAUUUUAAAACACUACUUCUGUCAUCUCAUAAAUGUCAUCUCUGUACUCAGUUGUCUCUGUUAACAUGCAACAUUGUGUACAUUAAUUUUUUUUCCUCUGUGUUAGUAUAUGGUGUGUGUGUGUGUGUGUUCCUGUGUGUGUGAAUGUGGGUGAACACAUGGCACAGAAUGCAUGAUGUGGCUGUCAGAGGACAACCUCAGGUGCCAGUCUUCACCUUUAAAUUUGUUAGAGACAAGGUCUCCUUUGUUCAUUACUGAGUAUGCCAAGACAAUUGGCAUGGAAGCUUCCAGAGUUUUCUGUCUCCACCUACCUCCCUUUGAGGACACUGGGGUUACAGAUAUCCACUAUCUUGCCUGGUCUUUAAACGGGCUCUGAGGAUUCUGACUCAGGCCAGGCUUUCGUGACAAAUGCUUUACCCAGCCCCUAUACACAGGCUUAUUUAUUUUGAAUAUGAGCUAUUUCUGGGUAGUGACCCUGAGAAGUUAUCAUUUUGGUUCUAAUUUAGUUUGGAAUUAGCCACCUACUGAAAUAUCCUUUCUGGCCUUUCCUGACCUGGACUUUGACAUUCAGGAAGAAAGAAGAGUUUUAAUGGGCAUAAUGAUGAAUGUGGGAUUUACCAAAGGAAGGAAAAGUGGACUUGGAGACAAAUAGAAAACUGAAAACCCUUAUCUCCUUGAGACAGUGUUCAGACUCCUCUUGGGCCACCUGCCACCAGGCCUAUCAAGAUUGGGUGAGCAUGCCUGUGUUCAGGGGGUGGUAGACUGAGUAAGAAAUUCCUGAAAAGAAUAUUGUGGUAAGAACCAGCAAGCAUAGCAGAUAGUAACUGUAUCCCGUCACUAGUGGGGAACAGGCUUGUUCUGCAAGCUGACAGUGUGAUCUGCAGGUAAUCAGAUCCAGUGUUCGGGGCCUCUUGUGACACAGUGAUUGUUGUAGACUAGACCAAGAAACAAGGGGAGGUUUCUGUCUCUCCCAUCAGGGUUGGCUUGCUUCCCGAGGUGUGUGGGGAGAGGAAGUAGGCUGUGAAUUUCAGGAUGGUUUUCCUCUGGGAAUGGCCUUUAGACCUCAGAUCUCCUGACUUUUUCUUUCUUUCUUUCAUCUAUGUGUUGACUUUUUGAAAUCAGACUGAGCCGUCUGGAUUCUUGAGUAUAUUAUACUCAGGUCCACGGAGUAGCCCUGUGGUUAUUUUUGAUUAUUUGCCAAUAAUCAAAACUCAAGAACUUCCGGGUGGCCCAGACAAGCAGCAGAAUUGAAAAUGGGGUUUGUGGGUCAUAACUGCCUUUGGAUGUAUUCAUUUCCCUUCCCCUACCACGAGGAAUAUGUGACAGAAGCUACUAACGGGAAGAUGGCUUCAUUUUGGGUUAUGAUUUCAGGGACUAUACCCCAUCAUGGUGGAAAAGGCAUGGUGUUGUGGCUCAGUCCAUGACCAUGGGAAAUUGUGGAAGGGAAGCCAAACUGUAAGCCUCAAAAGGCUGCCGUCCAGUGAUCUACCUCUGUCAUCCCCAAUUCUUAUCCCAAAGGUCCCACGACCUUUCCCCUGGCCUCCCAAGCUGUGGACCAAGUUCCCCAAAACGCAUGCAGUGGAUGACACUUGAGAGUCAAACCACACGGUGGAGGAGCCUGCUGGAGGCUUGAAAGUGUGAACAGAGUUCUCACCAGCAGAAGAGGAGAGCUCUCAGUCUGUGUUUGUGCCUGGGUGAGCAUAUGUGCAUGAAAGCAGAAGGCUUCAGCACCCCUACAACUGGAGUUAUAGACCAUUGUAAACUGACACCUGGGUGCCAGGAACCAAACCUGGCCCUCUGGAAAAGCAGCAAGUGUUCCUCACUGCUGAGCUACCUCCCAAGCCUCUAGAGCCGUGGGUCUUAACCAGUGGGCCGGGAUUGCAUGUCACAUAUCCUGCAUAGCAGAUAUUUGCCUUAAGAUUCAUGAAAGUAGUAAGAUUACAGUCCCGAAGCAGCAAAAACGUAAUUUUGUGGCUGGAGGUCACCACGACAUGAAGAGCUGUUUUAAAGGGUCACAGUGUUAGGAAGGUUGAAAACCACUGAUCCAGGAUUUAAAAAAUGACCCUGCAAGGUUUGUGCUAAGGAAUAAACCACCUGCCCCAUGAAGAGCAAGUUCCUACUUACAGUCAUGGGGAACUUCCGAAGUUUUCCUUAACUGGCCUGAAACUAGUAAGUUCUCUCAUUACCAUCCAUGAAGGAUGGGCUAAAAGAAAAACAAAAACAAAAAAAUGUGUGGAGAGAAUUCCAAUAUUGGGUGCUGGCCUUGACCUUCAGAUUUAAAUAUGGUCAUGAUAGACAGUAAAACUGUUUUCCCAUAUAGACAAGAAUACUUUUGUUCCUGCAUAACAUAGGAAUAAGAGGAAACUAUUUUAACCUCGUUGAAAUUCAUACACACACACAUACACACAUAUAUAUAUUUGAUCUAUCUAUCUAUCUAUCUAUCUAUCUAUCUAUCUAUCUAUCUAUGCAUCUAUAUCUGGUUGGGACAAUUGUGAAUGAAUGAGCUAAGGUCCAAAAUAUAUCUAGCAAGAUAUAUUUACUCUCCAUUCCAUUUUGGCCUUGGCUUGCCUCUCCUCCUAUCUAUCUGCAGCCAUUGUUGUCACGAGUCUACAGUUCGGUGCUACAUUGAUUAAAUGUCCAACACCCUUGGGUAAGAACGAGUAGGAUGAGUGACAGUUGAGCGGAGAAGAGACUCAGUCUCUCUAACGCUCCCUUGCAAGGAGUGACAGCCCUCUAGUUACAGGAAUUGGCUUCCCGAGACUUUGAGGCACUCCCAGCUAGGAGUUGGGAAUAAAAAAAAAAAAAAAAAAAAAAGCUAUGUAUCUAAUAAUCACGAGGAUGGGAGUCCUUAGACACAAACAGAACAAAUUGUAGCUCUGUAUAUAACUCUUAUCAGCUAGGGUACGCCGUGGACCAGAGGCUUGAAGGACAUCUGUGCCUCCUGCUCGGCAUAGCUGCUACCUCACUUCCUGGGCACACGGUCAGCAGUAACGAUAAAUUAUGGCUCUGUCUCCGAGAACUAGGUCUGAGGAGAGUAGUGUGGGGCGGCUGACCUGAAGACACAGAGCACGAUUAACAGGAGCGCUGUUUCAAGCAAAACCCAUACUCGAACCGUCUACAUGAAUGAGAGUGGAUAGAAGUUUCCCCAACUUUGGCAGUAACCCUGAAAUUUUUUUUUUUGAAAAUACAUUAUUUUCUCACAUAAUCUAUCCUGAUUAUGGUUCCCCUCCAUCUCCUCCCAGUUCCUUCCCACCUCCCCUCCCAUCUGAAUCUACUCUCUCCCUGUCUCUCAUUAGAAAAGAACAAUUUUUAAGGGAUAAUAAUAAAAUAUUACAAAAUAAAAUAUAAUAAGACAAUGCAAAAACUAGCACUUCGAAGUUGGAAAAGACAAACUGGAGAAAAAGAGCCAGAAGAAGGUCCAUUAGUCCGAGAACUGCUUGCUCAAACACCCAGGGAUCCCACGAAAACAUUAAACCGGAAACCACAGUCGGUACGCGGAGGACCUGAUGCAGAGCCGUGCAGGCCGUGCGCAAGCUGCCUCAGUCUCUGAGUUCACAUGACCCUUGAUGGUGUUGGCUUAGAGGGCCUGAUUUUGUAAGUAUCUUCCAUUCCCUCUGGCUCGUCCAUUCUUUCUGCCUCCUCUUCCACAGGGAGUAACCGGGAAAUUUUAUAUAAUAACAAUAUAACGUUGUGGUGUGAUGGUCGCACCCCCUUUAGUUUUGCAGAACUGAAAGGAAUGUGAAGGGUCGAUGUAGCUUUACAAGUUAUCAUCAGAAACCUGAGAAUGGAAUCUGGAGGCCUUGCACCGCUAGCUUCUGGGUUCUCUGCCUCAGUUUCCUAACGGCUUUCCAUGAGUUAGAAUGUGUAACACAGUCGUGCUGGGAGGAAACGGGCCUUGAGUUCCACCACUGGUUUCUUUAAUGGAGCAGAGGGGAUGGGGCGGCUCCUGACAGCACAACUCCGGUGUGGGGGCCCACAGAAUCAUGACAGACACUCAUUGCUUUUCCAGAAAGUAUCCCUCCUUGAAACAUUUUGAGCUCUGUUCUGUGAGAAGCUGGCUACGUUGCAUACACCGGAGGUGAAAGUAAUUUUUCUUACAGAUCUGUUACUGACGUCACAUGCUGGCCAUGGUGGCAAAACAAACGAAAACAAACUUAAGGGAAGCUCCCUAGGUGUUCAACCGUGGCCUUUGACUCCACGGAAGAAUGAAGUCAACCCUUGAUUGCAUGUUUGUUGGGAUGGGUUGUUUAUCCGGAAGGGCACUAAAUCUUAACUUGGAGAAAGGAUUUUCUACGGAGAAUAGUCAACCCAAAUAGAUGGGACUCCUGGUAUUAGACACCCGAGUUCUUCAAGCUGCUUUGAGUUUGAGUGUGAUCCUACUCAUAGGAUCUCAGCAAGAUGGCCUAAGGCAAUGACUUAAAAUUUCCCUUGCUUUAUCUUUCUCCAUAUAAAAUGCAUUGUUAUGGUAAUGCAACUUGUUAUGGUAAUACAACUUUCCUGGUGACUCUUCAGCAAGAGCUGACAGAGCAUGGCUCCAGACAGUGAUAGCUUCCUGGUGUGACCCCUUGGAAGGGGAGGACAUGUGAGAUGGAGGCAUGGGUCCUGAGCUCUUGUGUGACCUCACCGUCUUUGCUGUGACUUACUUGUCUAGUGUCUUGCACACUUCUAGGGAACUGGUUGGCGCUCACCUAUCUUUGUUUUAUUCUUGGUGGCUACUAGGACCUACCUACUCUUCCUUUCCACUCAUGGAGGUCAGGGCUGGAUCUCCCUCUGGUUCCUGGAUUGGAUUAGACACUGUUAUCAGCAACACGACCUCUGAUUCUUAAUUCUGCUACCUUCCUGGCCCCUGGAUAGCACUAUGACCUCUGGACCCCACACAGAGCAUGCUCAGGAGUGAUAACUAAGGACCACUAUUCAUUAACCACUAUUCACCGUCUCUUUUAAUUUGAUGCAUUUUCCUUUAUAUCAGAAUAAGACUAUAUCUUGGGGAGGGUAAGUUCCUUUCUCAAAUUCCACGCAGAAGAAAGGCUCACAAAUCCUCAUUUACUUUCUGUUUUCUCCCCAGUCUAUUUAAUAACACCUUCUAGGAUAUAAGCCCAGCAGGGAAAAACCCAGAACGCAAGAGUCCUUUGUCUUUCACCGCCUUUGUUCUUGGGUUCAAAGGUGAUAUGCACACCUGUCAGGUCAGAGGUUAAAAGUAUCUUACAGUGCUCAGCUUCGGAGUUAUGCGUGUGAGGAGCAGAAAAUAAUAUUUUAGAGACAUGAAACACAAAACAGUAUGUAAGGAAUCCUUUCCAUCACUACACGAGUCAAGUUGUAAAAGGGAUCUUGUCUUCAUCAAUGACUGGAAAUGAAAGUUCGCUCCUGUUGGUAAUAUUCUGCAAAUUAUAGCGUAUACAACUGUGACUAUCUCACACAUCUCAACCCCAAACGUAUCUAAGCUUGUCACGAAAAAGGAAAUUGGUUAUGUCCAGAUAGCUGAAGCUUCUACAUGAAAGAGACCUUGAGAGAGGUCUCCCCGAGUUUGACAGUAUUUCUAAAAAAUUAUACCACACAAAUAAUAAAAUGUUAUGAAGUUCAGGGUUCCGAGGGAACAAUAAGGGAAAACUCACUGGUUAUGCCACAGGAUAAAAUAAAUUCUACCUUCUUUUCAGAAAAAUUAUAUCCCCAAAUUGAAACCAUAUGAGGAGCUGCCUGGAGAUUCUACAGAUAAGAAAUCAGGAAAAUGUUUAGGAAAAUAUUUUAAAUCCCAGAUUGGCUUCAUAGAUGCUUCUGUCUCCGCCUUCUGAGUUCCGGGACUCCAGGUGUACACCACCAUGCCUGGCAGAACCAUUGCUUUGGACAGCGGACACGAACAGAUUGCUGUCACCUGAACCCAGUGUUUAUUAUGAUGCAUUUACUUGCGAGUUUACAUCGUAUUAUUUAUAGAGUGGCAUUAAGCUAUGUGUUUGCUAUCUACUGCUUCAUGGAAAACUACAUCAAAACCAUGUCUUCAAACAACUAGCGUUUUAUUAUAUUUUACUAAAUCUUCCCUUGGACAGUGGUCAGGGCAAAACUUAAAGGUAACUAUACUAAAUCAGCAGGCAGCGGCAUUUAAGCAAAGAACUGUUACAUGAAAUGUAAAGAAGGGACUUAUAGUCUAAUUGGUUAUAGUAGAAGACCGAUUUCAAAUAUGCUGGGCAAGAAGGGACAUGGCAUUAAACUGUCACAAAGUAUUGGGGGUUAGGUGAGAUUAAACCACCAAAGCACAGUGAUGAAACAUCUUUAGUGAAACCAAGAUUCAAUAGGCUGUGAGGGGCAAUGGAUUCUAAGGACAUUGUGGUGGCGGAAUGGUUCUGCAGCCAGCCAGUAAGUUUUUAAGAGUUAAUUAUGCUUGGGUGUGAGACAGGAAGAUUUGGUUGUCUUGCAGUUGUGAAUGAAGUAUGUUGAUUAUAAUGAUACGAAGGUAGACAUUAUCUUAACGAUAAGAGAUACAGAUCUGCAGUUUCUCUAUGAAGUCUGAGUUUCCCACCAACUUCAAAAGCAUCCCCUAGGGUGGACAGGCAGGCCGUGGGAGAACGUUAGGCAUUAUUAGCGCAGGCUGUCUGAAAUAGAGACCAUUUAGUAUCCUGUUCUCAGAGGAUCUGAAAGCACAAGACAAUGUUUGCUUCACGUUGUAAGCACCACUUUCUUUGUCACGGUGGUUGUUUUUGCUCCUUCACCACUUUUGAGAAAGUGCUAGAGAGUGCAAUAUAGUUUCCCAGAAAGCCCUGCCAGGAAUUAUUUUGUAUGAAGAUCAUGAUGUAAAAACCACUGUUAUGUUCCCUUGCAAAAAUAUUCAGGCGGUUGUAGUUGAUGGAUUUAAAUUAACUUUUGCUGUCCUCUCUACUCUUCUGUGAUACAUAAAAGAUUUAAACCAUUGAUCGUGUGUUUGUGUGUCCCAUGGCGCACACGUGGAGGUUGGCAACAACUUUUGAGACUUGGUCGCAUUCUCUCCUUUUACCGUGGAUUUUUGGGGUUGAACUUAAGUGUCCAGGUUUGUGUGGCAAGGGUCUUUAACCCUUGAGCAAUCCUGCUAGUCCUAAACUGUUAAUGCUUUAGUGACUGCAAGAUCCGUAUCCUUUGGGAUUCUGUAGCAGUCAUUUGUUGGAGAGAUGAGCCCCGUUUCAUCCAGGAGAGUGCCUUCCCAUGGAUGCCGUUGGGUCUGGACUUCAUUGUCUCCUGCAGAAACAGUCUUGCAGACAUCCAGAACCCAUGCAGCCAGCUGUCUAGUGGCCUGAAUGAGUAUAGAUUUUUCAGACAAUGUCAUGAGGAGAAGACAACGUGUUUAAAAACAUGGGUAAUCAAAACAAAAAAACCAAACCAAACCAAC